rnacentral:rRNA from 1 species
CACGUAGGGCGCAAGCGUUGUCCGGAAUUAUUGGGCGUAAAGAGCUCGUAGGUGGUUUGUUACGUCCGCUGUGAAAUCCUAGGGCUUAACCCUGGGCUUGCAGUGGAUACGGGCAGACUAGAGGUAGGUAGGGGAGAAUAGAAUUCCUGGUGUAGCGGUGAAAUGCGCAGAUAUCGGGAAGAACACCCGUGGCGAAGGCGGUUCUCUGGGACGGUACUGACGCUGAGGUGCGAAAGCGUGGGGAGCAAACAGG